GCGGAUUUAGCUCAGUUGGGAGAGCGCCGGUCUCCAAAACCGGAGGUCCUGUGUUCGAUCCACAGAAUUCGCACCA
rnacentral:tRNA from 1 species